rnacentral:ncRNA from 1 species
GUGUUGUAUGACAGAGAAGGCUUGCACUCCCUGGCAAGGAUGGAAGAGGCCCUUGGGCCUGACAACAGGCAUACGGUUAAGGCACUGCCACCCACUCGUGGCAUCUAACCAAAUGGCAUG